CCUACGGGCGGCUGCAGUGAGGAAUAUUGGUCAAUGGACGCAAGUCUGAACCAGCCAUGUCGCGUGCAGGAAGACGGCCCUAUGAGUUGUAAACUGCUUUUGUAAGAGGGUAAACGCAGAUACGCGUAUCUGUCUGAAAGUAACGUACGAAUAAGGCUUGGCCAACUCCGUUCCAGCAGCCGCGGUAAUACGGAGGAUUCAAGCGUUAUCCGGAUUUAUUGGGGUUAAAGGGUGCCUAGGGGGUCGGGUAAGUUAGGGGUGAAAUCCCGGGGCUCAACUUUGGAAUUGCCUUUGAUACUGGUCGGCUAGAGAGUAGUUGCGGUAGGCGGAAUGUAUGGUGUAGCGGUGAAAUGCUUAGAGAUCACACAGAACACCGAUUGCGAAGGCAGCUUACCAAGCUACUUCUGACGUUGAGGCACGAAAGCGUGGGGAGCAAACAGGAUUAGAUACCCUGGUAGUC
rnacentral:rRNA from 1 species